rnacentral:rRNA from 1 species
AGGGUUUGAUUAUGGCUCAGGAUGAACGCUGGCGGCGUGCUUAACACAUGCAAGUCGAACGAAGCAAUCUAACGGAAGUUUUCGGAUGGAAGCUGGAUUGACUGAGUGGCGGACGGGUGAGUAACGCGUGGGUAACCUGCCUCACACUGGGGGACAACAGUUAGAAAUGACUGCUAAUACCGCAUAAGCGCACAGGACCGCAUGGUCCGGUGUGAAAAACUCCGGUGGUGUGAGAUGGACCCGCGUUUGAUUAGCUAGUUGGUGGGGUAACGGCCUACCAAGGCGACGAUCAAUAGCCGACCUGAGAGGGUGACCGGCCACAUUGGGACUGAGACACGGCCCAA